GACGUAGGGCGCGAGCGUUGUCCGGAUUUAUUGGGCGUAAAGGGCGCGUAGGCGGCCUUGCAAGUGACGGGUGAAAUCCCUCGGCUUAACCGAGGAACUGCCUGUCAAACUGCGUGGCUUGAGACCAGGAGAGGUGAGUGGAAUUCCCAGUGUAGCGGUGAAAUGCGUAGAUAUUGGGAGGAAUACCAGUGGCGAAGGCGGCUCACUGGACUGGUACUGACGCUGAUGCGCGAAAGCGUGGGGAGCAAACAGG
rnacentral:rRNA from 1 species